rnacentral:lncRNA from 1 species
UUUUUUUGUUAGAUGCAGUCUUUCAAAAUGAGUAAAUAAGCCCCAACACUAGAAGGUCAAAGAUUGAUUGGAGACUUCAAACCAUGAGCCCUCAAUGCGAUUUAAGCCUGAUAAAAGCCAUUUUCCCAAAUGUAGUUUUCAUAUUAAGUGGUAAAAGCCAGUGAAGAGUAAAAAGCAUCAUUAUGUGAUGGCUUGAAGUAAAUUUAGAACUUCAUUGAGAAAUCUAGGGUUACAUGUAUAUAUGAACAUAUACAUACACACACACACACACAUACAUAUAUAUAUCCACUUAAGAAACUGUUUCUUUUUAAGCUUCUGUCUUUUGAAAGCAUAAAUUACUUAGUUCAGUUGAUUAUUUUUAAGUCUAUAUAAAGUGGGUUUCAGAAUACCAUUUCUAGCAAGUGUAAAGCCUCAGAAAAAAAAAAAAAGUGAAAACAAGUGUUACUUAAAAGAUCUAUUUUCUAAACCAAUAUCUUUGGGGGAAAGGGCUAAAUAUAAGCAAAAUACAUAUUUUCUCCUUCUGUAAUUAAAAUUAAAAUUUAAUCAUUAGCCCUGAAACGUGAAGGAAUAUUUCUUAAGUCAAUGUUGAAAGACUCCAACAGCAUAUUUCUAAGCAUUUAAUAACUACUGUCUGAUCAGUUGAGUUUUAAGAAUUUCUCAUCGAAUUAACAACGCUGAGGCAAUUAGUGCGGAAAACGCAAAAGGUUUUCUAAAGCCUUCCAAGAGUGUACCAUAAACUGGAAAGACAGCAGCAUUUGUACAAUAGCUUCUAGUUUAAAGUUAUUUUCACAGAGAAAAGUUUUUUCUUUGUACGAAAUGUACAAUUAAAAGAACUGCAGCGUAAAUGUUACCUGCAGGACUACGAACAUGUGGAAUAUAUGUUUAAAAUAUAUAAAUAUAUAAAUAUAAAGACAUGGAAUUAGCUGAGACGAAGGAAAGAGAAAUUGCGAAAUAAUGGAUGAAACCACCGCAGGUGCACGUACGUGAGUUCGAGCGUGGAGGGUCGGGGAGCAGGAGGAGCAGAGAAGGCGCAGGCGCAGUGAAGAGAAAGGGCGGGGAAAAGGCUCAGGUCCCCUGCGGUUGGCUCAACACUGGGGACCAGGCGGGGGUUCAAGAGUUGGGCCUUGGAAGAAUGGAGGAGCAAUGCUUAACCGAACAGAAGUGUCUUGCAGAGAAGCAGAAGAACCGAAGGGAGACCAAGACGUAGGCUUAGGUUAAAGGGCUUCCACUGAACAAGUCAAGUGGGAGCGCUGCCCACGUCUCCCGGUUUUGAAGGAUGUCAGGAAGCGCAGGCUUCUCUCUGGUUUCCGUGAGCAGCUGCAAAGGCGCACGUCUUCGCCUUUGUCCUGAGACAGCUGUCUCUCACUGUUUGUCCCUCUGCUCUCUUUCUACCGUAAUGUAUACCCUUCACUUCUAAGCGUCGGGAAAAUGCGAUCCGCACUUCUGUCCUUCACUUCCUCAUCCUCAGUUCGUGUGGGGCUUUUGUCAUUGUCCCUCAUGUGUCCCUGAACCUGCCAAGGCUGUUUGCAAUGAAAUCUUGUGUCCAAUUCCCAGCCCUCUCCUGAUAGCCGUUGGCUUCCUCCUGAAAACUCAACUCACGAGGUCUCGGAGACGUCUUUUCCCAAUAGUGCCUUUGUUCCCUAGCUGCUGCUGUUUCGUCUGCUUCCAGGGCUCCUCCUUCUCUGCCUGCUGCUUAGUUGCCCAAAGGCAGGUUUCCAUUCCCCUUCUCCUUCCCUGCGGUCAGAACACGCUCUGGGGCACCUGCGCCCCCCAGUCUCCAUCACUGUGGCUAUUCUGACUCCCCGGGGACUCAGGUCUUCUGAGGUCUGAGCUUAUAUCAUUUGGAGCACCCUCUUUAAGAAAAGGAAUACAGACGUCUGAACACAAAAUUAGUUUAAAAAAUGAAUACAGAUGACAAAUACCACAGUAUAAUAGAAACCAAAAGAGUAACACAUUUUCAUUAAUUGUCUGACACAGUUCUAUGCUUCGCUCCCCUUUCAUUGAUUAUUUUGUACUAUUGUGGAGAGAUGAGAAAGAUAAAUCAGUCUUUCAUCUGGUGUGGUUAGUCGGACGUGGUUUCUUACUACUGAUAUUUUGAAUGCAAAAAAAAAGUGAGCACAGAUGAACUUACCGUGUGUAACCUUCUUAUAGGUUUGUGUCCAAUGAACAUAGGAAUUCAGAUAAAGUUCAUUUCUUAAAUUCCCUUCAAAAUAAAAAAAUAUGGUGCAUUUAUAAUUAUGUGCUUCAUCAUCGAAUAUUGUGAAAGAAAAUGAACUUCUGUUUCGAAAUUCCUUUCAAAAUAAAAAAAUAUGGUGCAUUUAUAAUUAUGUGCUUCAUCAUCAAAUAUUGUGAAAGAAAAUGAACUUCUGUUUCGAUCAAGCAUUAGUAGAAGUCGUUGAUUCAGUUUAUUUCCAUAUCCCCUAUUGCUGCUGUAUGUCAGCGCCCCAGAAUUUCCUCUGCCUUUGCAACAGCCACCGAACAGGCACCCUCUUUGCCAGUCUUGCCUCACCAUGACUCCCUUGUGUAUUUCUGAGAGCUUUUUGAUCAGAAAAUCAUAUAACCACCCUCUUACCUAAACUGUUAAUGGACACUCAUUAUGCUCAAGAUAGUUUCCAAACUUCUUAGUCUGGCAAUCAAAACCCAUUCCUAACAUCAUUCCUGCUUCUUAUUUGAACCUCACCUCUCAUGGAAUAUCCACCCCUCAUCUCGACACCAUCCUACAUUCCAAUGAGACCAAAAUGUUAGAAUUGGCUAUGCCAUGGUCAAAUAUGUAUAUCCACUGCUCCUUCUGCCAGAAGUAUCACCACAUAAAAACUUGUUUAAACCCCUCUGGUCUUUUAAACUCCUCUCCAAAAUGCCUUUUCUGUCCACUGACACCCCUCUUUAUCCCUCUAACCUAAAUCACGACUCACCAGAUGAACCUAUUCUGUAUCUUUACCAGGGUAUGAAUCAUGCAUUAUAAUUGAUAUUCAUAUUUUUAAAAAUCCAUUAAUUUGGUAGGCAAGGCUCUGAUACCUGGAGGGAUCUGUGAUAUUGAUAUCUUGUUAAAUGUUCUGUGAGUGUUGAUAAUAAUCCAAAAUUCCCAGAAAGCCAGAAGCUAUAUAAUUUUCAUAAACUCAAGACUUUCUAAUCUCAGAUCAUCAAAAUACCUGCUCAAAUACCUUUAUGUUUUUUAAGCCCCUUAGGUGACUGCAGGUCAUCUUGUUCAAUAAGAUGAGGACUGGUUAAAGUGGGGAAUCAUAAAAAUAAAUACAUAAAUAAAUAAGGAAGCAUUACCUAAAAUAUUUUUUCUGUGAGUAUGAAUCAGUGAUUUGGGUUUCAGUUUGUCAUCCUUAUCUUUUGACUUUAGACCCAUCAUAAGAAUUCUUCACAUUACAGUUCCAGUUUCCUUAAAGUGAAGGAGAACUUAAAGAAAUAGGCUGAAUGGAGUUCCUGUCAUGGCUCAGUGGUUAACGAAUCUGACUAGGAACCAUGAGGUUGCGGGUUCGACCCCUGGCCUUG